GGGUACAAAUAUGACGUCUGGCUUCGCGGCCGGCUGAAUAUUUUUUUCACCCAUGUCUUUUGCGCACUUGUUGUUUCCUGGGCGGGUUCGCCCGCCACCAGGACCAAACCAUAAACCUUUUUUUUUAUGCAGUUGCAAUCAGCGUCAGUAAAAACAAUGUAAUUAAUUACAACUUUCAACAACGGAUCUCUUGGUUCUGGCAUCGAUGAAGAACGCAGCGAAAUGCGAUACGUAGUGUGAAUUGCAGAAUUCAGUGAAUCAUCGAAUCUUUGAACGCACAUUGCGCCCUUUGGUAUUCCAAAGGGCAUGCCUGUUCGAGCGUCAUUUGUACCUUCAAGCUUUGCUUGGUGUUGGGCGUUUUUGUCUCCCUCUUUCUGGGAGACUCGCCUUAAAACGAUUGGCAGCCGGCCUACUGGUUUCGGAGCGCAGCACAUAAUUUGCGCUUUGUAUCAGGAGAAAAGGACGGUAAUCCAUCAAGACUCUACAUUUUUAACUUUUGACCUCGGAUCAGGUAGGGAUACCCGCUGAACUUAAGCAUAUCAUAACACGGGAAAGGAAG
rnacentral:rRNA from 1 species